CACUGUGGAAUUCGCCCUUCGGCUGCUGGCACAGAGUUAGCCGGUGCUUAUUCUGUCGGUAACGUCAAAAUUGCAGAGUAUUAAUCUACAACCCUUCCUCCCAACUUAAAGUGCUUUACAAUCCGAAGACCUUCUUCACACACGCGGCAUGGCUGGAUCAGGCUCUCGCCCAUUGUCCAAUAUUCCCCACUGCUGCCUCCCGUAGGAGUCUGGACCGUGUCUCAGUUCCAGUGUGACUGAUCAUCCUCUCAGACCAGUUACGGAUCGUCGCCUUGGUGAGCCAUUACCUCACCAACUAGCUAAUCCGACCUAGGCUCAUCUGAUAGCGCAAGGCCCGAAGGUCCCCUGCUUUCUCCCGUAGGACGUAUGCGGUAUUAGCGUCCCUUUCGAGACGUUGUCCCCCACUACCAGGCAGAUUCCUAGGCAUUACUCACCCGUCCGCCGCUGAAUCAGAGAGCAAGCUCUCUUCAUCCGCUCGACUUGCAUGUGUUAGGCCUGCCGCCAGCGUUCAAUCUGAGCCAGGAUCAAACUCU
rnacentral:rRNA from 1 species